GUGCCGUCCACGAACGAUGUAGAGAGCCUGAGGGUAGGGAUCUGUCAGUUCAUGUGCCUCAACAAGCCUUACUUCUACCUCUAGUAGUAAAUAUGACCAAGUCAUUAGCUCAAUAGCGUUCCAGGUACCAGGCCUUCCAAAUUUUGACGAGGAAAAUUAGUGUCUCCUGUAGAACAGUCAUAUGAACUAUUCAGAAAACUCAGGAAGACCUGCCAUUCCCCCCCCAUUCCCACUCUGUAGUUAAGCUGUUGUAGGAGACAUUUUUUUUUAGUGUCCGUAUUUGGGUGUAUGUUUAGCCUCAAAUCUCAUUGUUCAUAGUGCAACAAGUGAAUCAACUGUGGAUAAUGCCCCAUGUAAUGAUUUUUGGGAAGCAUUAUUUUGUGGGAACACUCUAUUGUCCAGAUAUGAAAUGGAGUUAUUAGUGUGAACAAGUUUUCUUUAAUUCACAGAGGAUUUGCCAAACUGGUUCGUUUGAAGCAAUGCUGGAUUCCGAUCAAGAGGGAGAAAUCUCAGCAGGCUCCAAUUCCCAUGUCCAUUCCUUCCAAUUCUUUGCAGUGAAAAUUAGGGGCACCAGUGACCGGUCCGGUGACACUGAAUAUCCAGCCUCUCAUCUCCAAUGAGCACUCCGAUCCCUCACCUGAUACUUAGGCCCUCCUCACCUGCAGUCCAUUCCUGAUUAGUCCCUCACUAUUUAGGUCCACUUACUUGCACUCAGCAAGCCCCAGCUGGUCCCCCCAAACAAGGACAGGGGCAGAAAAGGAGUG
ensembl:lncRNA